GCCAGCAUGGCUUAGUGGUUUGAGUGUUGGCCUAGGAUUCUGGAAAUCAGGGUUCGAUUCCCAGCUCAGCA